rnacentral:rRNA from 1 species
GAUCCUGGCUCAGGAUGAACGCUGGCGGCGUGCCUAAUACAUGCAAGUGAAACGGGUAUCUUCGGAUACCAGUCGCGGACGGGUGAGUAAUACAUAGGCAACCUGCCUUUAUGAGGGGGAUAACCGAGGGAAACUUUGGCUAAUACCGCAUGAAGACUCUAAGGCAUCUUAGAGGGAUAAAAGUUGGGAAACAACGCAUGAAGAUGGGCUUAUGGCGCAUUAGCUAGUUGGUGAGAUAGAAGCCCACCAAGGUAAUGAUGCGUAGCCGACCUGAGAGGGUGAACGGCCACAUUGGGACUGAGACACGGCCCAAACUCCUACGGGAGGCAGCAGUAGGGAAUUUUCGGCAAUGGGGGGAACCCUGACCGAGCAACGCCGCGUGAAGGAAGAAGGUUUUCGGAUUGUAAACCUCUGUUAUAAGGGAAGAACGGAUUGGAUAGGGAAUGAUCUGAUAGUGACGGUACCUUAUUAGAAAGCCACGGCUAACUACGUGCCAGCCGCCGC